UCUCACUUAAAAACAAAAACAAAACAGGAAUUUCAACUCUAGUUGGUGGAUAGGUUAUGUGGGUGUUACCCGAUACCCUUUUUAAACCGUUAACAUGAUCUUCGUCGAUAAUAGAACAACAACGCUAGAACACCAUCUUCAGAAUCAAACUAGGAUUUGUCUCAGCUAGUUCUGAAUUCAAGAAGACUAAACAUGAAGUUGGUGGUUCCUGGCCUUCUUCUGCUUGUCUUUAUCACUGUAAGGGCAGCUCCUCUGGGUUCUGAAAAUCCCGACAAAAUCUACCUGGACGAUUAUUCCGUUCCAGUCGGGUACAGCGCACACAAUCGAGAUUUACCAGUGAUUUCAGGUACCUUAACGGAUACCACUCAGGCAAUUGCUGGCUGGCAGUUGUCAAAGUUGCGUAAAAAUGGAUUUAUAUUAUUUGCCUUUUCACUCCUAAAUCCUCCAAGCCAGACAAAAAGCGAGACAAAAAGCCAGACAAAAAGCCAGACAAAAAAUCGAAAUGUUCCUUCGUAGAUUUGCCAUUCCCGAAGAAUUUCUUUACCGCCUUCCGUCAUGAUCCGCACCAAUUCGAUAUGUGGAAGAACUGGGCAGCAGAGUACCCACCAGAAAUAUUUGUUCCCGAACCUUUCUCUCGAAAAGACGCUGAAACUCUUGCUUAUCCAGGUGUUCCGGACGGAACAGUUUUUAUUCCUGAAAUAAAUGCUCCAACAGUUUAUAAUACAGAUGUCGCUGAAGCAAAAUCCACGAGUAUCCUAACAUCAGCCGCCAAUUUUCAAAUGGCGCAAUGGAUUUGGAGAUGGAACAUCAUCCUUUGUCUUGUCAAUCCUUCGUGCCCCAAUGUCACAAUUCCGUCGACCACCGGGAAAACUCUCAGCGGUUAUCCUUCGUUGCUAUUUGAUGCAAGGCAAAUUUUAGUGAAACCUUUGAAUCAGUAUGAAUUACCCAAAUGAUAUUUCCAGUAUCUUUGCCUCCACAACCCCCAUAUCGUUAUCAAGCCCUUGUAGUAGUGUUACUCAGGUGUUUUCAGGGGCCAUGUCAAAUUUAAAAUAUGCUGCACAAGACAUAUGAAAUUUUACAAAUCCUUUUUUUUUUAAAUAUUUGUAUUAAUCUUCUAAUACAGCGCUUUGUAACAUU